CCUACGGGCGGCAGCAGUGGGGAAUAUUGCACAAUGGGCGCAAGCCUGAUGCAGCCAUGCCGCGUGUGUGAAGAAGGCCUUCGGGUUGUAAAGCACUUUCAGCGGGGAGGAAGGCGGUGAGGUUAAUAACCUCAUCGAUUGACGUUACCCGCAGAAGAAGCACCGGCUAACUCCGUGCCAGCAGCCGCGGUAAUACGGAGGGUGCAAGCGUUAAUCGGAAUUACUGGGCGUAAAGCGCACGCAGGCGGUCUGUCAAGCCGGAUGUGAAAUCCCCGGGCUCAACCUGGGAACUGCAUUCGAAACUGGCAGGCUAGAGUCUUGUAGAGGGGGGUAGAAUUCCAGGUGUAGCGGUGAAAUGCGUAGAGAUCUGGAGGAAUACUGGUGGCGAAGGCGGCCCCUUGGACAAAGACUGACGCUCAGGUGCGAAAGCGUGGGGAGCAAACAGGAUUAGAUACCCCUGUAGUC
rnacentral:rRNA from 1 species